AACGAACGCUGGCGGCAGGCUUAACACAUGCAAGUCGAACGCCCCGCAAGGGGAGUGGCAGACGGGUGAGUAACGCGUGGGAAUCUACCCUUUUCUACGGAACAACUGAGGGAAACUUCAGCUAAUACCGUAUACGGCCGAGAGGCGAAAGAUUUAUCGGAGAAGGAUGAGCCCGCGUUGGAUUAGCUAGUUGGUGGGGUAAAGGCCUACCAAGGCGACGAUCCAUAGCUGGUCUGAGAGGAUGAUCAGCCACACUGGGACUGAGACACGGCCCAGACUCCUACGGGAGGCAGCAGUGGGGAAUAGUGGACAAUGGGCGCAAGCCUGAUCCAGCCAUGCCGCGUGAGUGAUGAAGGCCCUAGGGUUGUAAAGCUCUUUCACCGGUGAAGAUAAUGACGGUAACCGGAGAAGAAGCCCCGGCUAACUUCGUG
rnacentral:rRNA from 1 species